CCCUUUCUUGCUUAUAUAAAGAUUCUGAUCAUAUUAGAGAACAAAUAACAAACACAAAUCAAAUAAGAUUGCAUCCUAUGUUAUAAGUCAAUAUAUGCUUCUUCAUGUGUUACGAUUACAAGGCUAAAGUUAGGGAUAUUCAUAUCCAAAUUAAACAACAAAUCAAUAAUUUUCUUUAAGAUCUUGGUGGGUGGCAAGAGUAAGAAGAGCUGAACAUCAUCACCAUCCUACUUAAUUAGCCUAAAAAAGCUUAAAAUAAAAAGAGAAGAAAAAGUUUAAUUUCGAUUUGUGUAUCCUUCAGAAAUAUAGUUUUUUUAGAGCUUAUUUAUUUUUUUGUAGAAAACUAUGAAGCUAAUUUAUAAUCGUGCAUGACACGGUCACACACUAAUAGUAUUAUAAUAUAUCAUUCAUUCUUUUAUUUUUUUUAAUAAGCAUUCUUUCGAUUCUAUAUAAUAUAUAUAAGGGGAUGCAUUUUUACUUUAAAAUUGAGACACUUUUCUCCAACUCCAAGUAAUCCCAAAAUCUCCAAAAUAUUCUUAUGUAUUUUGUUGCUCUUUCUAUUUCUCUUUCCCAUGCAAGGCUUCUUCCUCCAAUUUAAUCCUUUCUCAUCUACUAUAUUAAUAUAUGAUUUCCUUAUUUUUCUCAUGAUUGGUCGAUCACUCAUUUAAAUUUGAAUUCAUGGCACAUAUCCUUUUUUCUAUCUCAAACAAGACCAACCAUGUUUCUGUUCAUAUGAUUUGGUCAUCCUUAUCUUACAUAGUAAAGAAUAUAUAUUACUUAUUAUUUUGAUUUGUAUGUGAUCCACAAAUUGAACUUAUAAUCUUUUUAUCUUUCUGCAUAAUAUAGGGCUAAUCAAUUCAAUAAUUUAAAUAGUAGCAUGUAAUUGCACUACAAAUGAGUUAACGUGAAUCCUUAAAAAUAUACUUUGGAGCUUAUAAAUCAUGAAAGGAUAAAUAGAAAUAGAAAUAAUAAUAAAAUGUCGUUAAAAAAAGAUAAUGAACUCAAAUAACUAACAAUAUUUUUACGUGAGAUUGUCACACAUAUCAAGUAAUUUAUUGUGUGAGCUAAAGGGGUAAACACAACAUAUCAAUAUACCUAAGAGGCAUUUGAUAUACAAAAUAACUUAAGAGACAUUUAUGUUGCACAAAGUGAAUAGAGCGUGAGUUUUUGUUUAUAAUGUACAAAGUGGUUGAAUCAAUAUUUAUUCGUUACAUGCAUAGGAAACCAAAUAUGACCAAGUUUUUUAAGUUUGUUUAUACUAUGUUCAUUUUAAUUUCUCUAUUUCUUGUUGUUACCAAUGCCAAUGGUAAGACUUUUUUCUCACCGUAUUCAAGUUUUCAAAUUGACCUCAUACAUAAUCUUCUGACCAUUUUCAAUAACAUUCUUUUAUUCUUAUUUUUACAUUUCAGCUAAUAAUUGUACCGAUACCUCCGAUUGCUCAAGUAAUCAUUGUUCCUAUGAGGGGGUGUCAUUAUGCAUGAAUGGUCAAUGUAUAUGCAUUUACGAGUAAAGUCGGAAACUAAUUCUAUUACAUAUAAGCUUACAAUUUUACUUAUAUGUCAAAGUGAAUGUUGUUACUCUUAUGGUUUCUCUCACACUUUGAGUUAUAUUUUUGACCUUUCAAUUUCUUUUCCAGAACAAGCAGAAGAAGACAAUAAAAAUGUUUUAGUCACAAAUAUGUAAUAAAUAUAUGCAUUGUAAAUUCUAUUACGUACUUAUUACAAUACUUUAUUACUAACGGAAAGACCAACAAUAAUGUGUUGUUCUAUCCACUUUUUCUAUUGUGCUUAAAGACCAACAAUACUUUAUUACUAACGGAAAGACCAACAAUAAUGUGUUCUAUUAUAUAUUAGCUUCAUAAAUGUCUCCUUAUUAUUUAUGUUUAAUAUUAGUCUUGCACUUUUAUUUUUACGUAUGUAUGAAACAUUUUAUUUGUAGAUUAUGCAAUAUAUAUUAGUAUAUACAAAAAGUUUCUUGCAUGGAUCAAACAUCACAUACAAUAUAAUCAUAGACAUUAUUAUUGAACAAGACAUCAAUGGGUUGUAUCGAACAUCGAUGUUUUUGUCCUCUCAUUUAACAACACUUAGAAUGUACAUCGUAAUGUAAACAUACUUUUAUGUUCUUUUUCCUUCCUUUUGUCCAAUAUACAUCCAUCACAAUUCUUCGUCCUCAACAUAGUCUUCCUACAAGGUGCAUCUAUGUCUGACGCAAAAAUUGUUACUUCAACAAAUCCUAAUCGUUUCUCAAGGUCUAGAACCCAUUUCAAGAGAUUAUAUUGAGUAGGAAAUACUUGAACUAGAUAUUCACCAUAUAUCAUGACAAUUUUCACAUAUAGAUAACUAAAAACUAUAAAUUUAUAAUUUAGAUACCAACUUGAUAAGUGGGGAAGUAUUAAGUGAAAUCUAGAUAUUGUCUUUUAGGUUUAAAAUUUAAUGUGUGUCUCUCAUAUGUAGUCCAUUUAGUGAUAAAACUUAAAUUUAUAAAAUAAUAUCUUAUUCUUAGGCUUUGUUUGGGAGUUUGGAGGGGAAGGAAGGGAGGGGAGGGCUUUGAGGGGUUGGAAAUAUAUAGAAAAAUGGACAAAAAAUUCACAUUUUUUGAAAGAACAAUUUUUUAGAGAAUGAUAAACUAAUACUUAUGAUUAAUAUACUUUUAAUUUUAAGAAUACUAUAACAACAUAGAUUGAAUUUGAAAAAUUUAUAUAAACUCUCCAUAACCCCCUAAAGCCCUCCCCCAAUACAGUUUUUGAGUUCCCUCAAAUGAGGGGGAUUUUUUAUUAUGAGUAAAAAAUUAACCUUCAAAGCCCUCUCCUCUCAAUGUCUUCUAUUUCUUCCACUUGCUCAUUCUUUUUUUCCAAAACCCUCCCCUCCAAACUCCCAAACAAAGCCUUAGGGUCGUUCCUACUCCCUAUGUAAUUGGAGGUCUGACUCUCAUAGGGUUGUCAGAGAAGAUGAAGGUUGAGACUAAAGAUAAGUCCCUAAUAAAAAAAUGCAAAUUUUUUUUUAUAAAAGAGAAAAUUAGAGUUUAUAAUGUAUCUUCUUAAAGCUUUGCUAUUUAAUAUGACUUAUGAACAAAAAAUGUUCUAAAAAAAUAUGAAAAAAAGAGUUAAAUUGUGUUUUAUUUAAAAAAUAUAUAGUUCAAUAGGCCUAAUUUAUCAUGGAUUUAAAGUUUAUAUGUCCUCAAUACUCUAUUCUUCCUUAAAUUCGGCUCAAAUUGGAAUCUUAUCAUGCUAAAAAAAUUAAUUAAAAAAGUGGAAGUUGCACCCAAGAUGAAAGCAUUUGGUCUUGGUUGUUUUACACAUGUCACGGUUGUAUUUUAAACAAUUCUUUGUAAGUUCAACUUAAUUUCUCAACCCAUAACUUGCAUACACAUGUGUUUCGAGUGUUUUUUAAGAAAUAAAACUUAAUUGUUCUUCUGAUUUGAAAUAUGAUUUUAGCCUCUAUAUUUUUGGUUUUUGGAGGGCGCGCAAGAAUGAGUAGAUGGUGGGAAAAGAAAUUAUCUAAAAAUAAAUAGACGAGAAGUCCAAUCUACAUUGUUUUGAAGAGGUCCAUUUUCAUCAUCAUCAUGAGAAACUCUACCAUAGACACAACCCAAAAAUUACAAAGACUAUUACUUUUCCCACUUUAUCAAUUUCUCGCGCGUCCUAUUUUUUCACAAAAAUGUUCUUGAGAUUUUCAGAUUUUAAAAUUCGAAUUGGUGUUUUCCUUUGUUAUAGGGUGAAAAAAAAAAAGAGUUUUUCACCAAUUCGGAUUUUGUAAUCCAAAAAAAUCCAAAAAUAGGAUGUGCUAUUUGAUUUUUUCGAAUUAUAAAAUAUGAACACCCCCCUAAACACCAUUUUUUCAUGGUGCUGAUGCAGUUUGGAUUAAGUAAUCCGGAUAACAUCAACACCAAUUUUGAACAUGUUUGUCACAUGGAUAGUCAUUGUAAGAACAAUAUUAAUCUUCCUAUCUUUCAUCAUUUUAAAGGAAUCAAUUCUGCAAAAUGGUGAAAAUAGAGGAUUCAAAACUGCAAUUAAGCUAAAAUUAAAAGAGAAUAAAACUAUCUAAAUGAUGUUGAUUGAUGUGAUCUAAUUAUUUUUGUUUUAAAUUUUUUCAUUUGAUACCAAUGUGCCUAAAUAUUUACCAUAGUGUUCAUAGAAGAGUUUAGCCAUCAUCAUUCACCAAGUUGAAUUCGCUCAGCUCUUUUUCCAUCAGAAACGAGCACUGAACUCAAAUAGCUGGGGUUGCUCUUUGCCGGCGAUCACAUCUCUCACAGUCACGCUUCCUCUUUCACUCACUCAAUUUUUCUUUCCUUCAAUCUCAACCUUCAUUUUCGUUUUCUUCUUCCAAUCAAGUCCUUCAAUUUCGAUUUUCGGUGAUUUUUUUUUCUCAAUGACAAUUUUUGUUGUUGAGUGAAUGUGGCUCUCCCUCUGUGUUAUUUAUGUGUUGAAAAGCGUAGAUUUCAAGUAUUGACUUAGGAUGAAUGAAUUUUUGCACUUCAUGUGUUUGAUAAUUGUCCUAAGUGGCGUUAUGUGAAUCUUUGCCUGUGUAGACUGAUUUUUUUGUAAUCUUGUGCGGCUGUGAAGAGAAAAGGAGAUUUUUUUAUUUAACAAAGCUCUAAAUUAAUUGCAUUUGGUUCACUUUAACGAUGAUUUCUGAAUGCGUAUGCUGCCAUCACAUCAGUGGUAUCUCAUUAAUCUGACUAAAAGCAACCGAAUCAACACCUUUUGGUUGUAUGAAACAAUGUAGUCUAGACACCACACCAGUAAUAAUUAGAGAAAGUGGAAGUGAUUAAGUGUAAUUUAGUAUGCGUGUCAAUGUCAUGGUGGUGUUGGAUAUCAACAAGUGUCGGACAGUAAACAUGUCUUCACUGUGAAGUAUCGGUGUUCCGUUGUUUGCCUACUAAAUCUCACCAAAGCUAGUAGUUUUAAUUGAAAUUUUAAUACUCUGCUCAUGUAUUUGAGAGAUGCACCUUUAGGAUUAGGAUAUAUCAGUUUGUAGCAAUCUUUAAGAACAAGAUUAUCUAUCCAACUAUCUAUCUCUAGAUAAUGUUUUACAUCUUUUUAUGCUUAAAAUGUGAAUCAAAUGAAAAUUAGGAUCGUUUAUUCACAUUUUCAUCUUUUAUAAUUUUGAAAUAAUCCAUUUUUGAUUAUUUACUCUCUAUUCAGUAGUUUUUAGUACAGUGACUAGGAUCUAAAUCAUAACGUUAUAAACUAACACUAGUGUUUACUUUAAAUAUCAAAUAUCAAAUUCAUAAACUAAUACUAGUGUUUGCUCUCUUUGUUAUUCUUAUUUAUUUUACGGUUAGAUUAUAGGUUGAAAGGAUCGAUUUUAAGGUUCUGCAACAAAUUUUAGUUUCCCCUAAUUUUCAUAUAGUUCACAAGUCCUCAAAGCAAGGAAUUAGAAAUUUCAUGGAAUCUCUCGUCAAGUUUGUGGUUUGUUUCCCUUUUGUUGUUUUUUCGUUUUGAUCCUUUUUCCUUUCUUUCUUUCUUGUGCUAUGUUUUCAAUGCAAUAUGCUCUGUUUUCUUGUGUUUUGUAUCAGUUAAAUAUGAUUCUUUAAUUGGAAGGUUUAAUAGAAAGUCUAAAUAUACCAAUAUUGCUAUGUUGAGAAAAUUGGUGUGGGAUUUGCAUCUGAAUUUGAACAAACAGUGGGUUACCACCUUACAAAAUCAGUUUCUAAAUGUAGUGUAGCAGUUUGAUGGAGUAUAAAUGAAUUAAAGGAUCCCCAAUUCUUGGUGUCUCUCUUUGUUACGUGGGUUUCUAGUAUAAUUGUAUUGUAUGUCUCUUUUUAUCUAGCCGAUUAGCAAUUUAGCAAGACUUUUUAUUGAAUAUGUUGGCAAGAAUCUCAAUGGUGUUGAAUAGGUGUCAAGUUGUGAGGUAAUAUGCAAUUGAAUUUCUUUUUGUAUUGAAAAAUAGAGCAUCAUUCUUGGAGUCAAAGUUUAUGUUGAAUUUCUUGCUGCUUUAUGUUAUUAGUAAUUGAUUUGUGCAUUUUCUAAGAGCAACUGAAUAGUUAAACAUAAGAAAAUAUAUGCAUUUUUCAAUAGAGCAUCAUUCUUGGAGUCAAAGUUUAUGUUGAAUUUCUUGCUGCUUUAUGUUAUUAGUAAUUGAUUUGUGCAUUUUCUAAGAGCAACUGAAUAGUUAAACAUAAGAAAAUAUAUGCAUUUUUCAAAUGGAAAGCUUCCGACCAAGAUGAUUAUAUACGAGUUUUAUGAAUUUCAGUUAUAAUUUUGUAAUCAGUACUUCCUGCUCCUUCCAAUAUUUUGAGCAAGAUCCACCACUGUUCUCUGGCUUCUAAAUUUAAACAAGCACUAUAUCUCGACCACUCACUCAAAUAGCCCGAGUUGCUCGUUGCCGCCGGUGAUCACAUCUCUCACGGCUAAGACCACCGCUCUAUAUCUCGACCACUCACUCACUCAACCUUCAUUUUCGUUUUCUUCUUCCAAUCAAGUAAGUUCUUCAAUUUCGAUUUCUCAAAGGCUAUUUUUUCACUUCAUGUGUUGCCAUUCGAUAUCUGUAAGUAACUUCUCACUCAUUGAUUCGUGCUAUUGCAAACACGACACAGAUAGAUAGAAGAAGAAAGGUUGAAUUUUGGGGGAAAAUGGUGGUUAGAAUUCGACUUUCAUGUUUAGGGUGCAAAAACAAGCCAUUCUACCGUGUUAUGGCUUCUGAUAGCAGAUCUCCAAGAGAUGGAAAGCACCUCGAAGUUCUUGGUUACUAUAAUCCCUUACCUGGUCAAGAUGGUGGCAAAAGAAUGGGUAUCAACUUUGAUAGAGUCAAGUAAGUAGUCAUUAAUACUGAUAGAAAUGGAAAGCACACUCGUCAGUGCCCGUCAUGACACUAACACAUGUGAUUGUACUCAUUUAAAUAAUUUUUCAAAUUAUCAUUGAUGUCGACGUGUCUAUGGAAGUACAUGAUGUAUGUGUCGGUGAUUCCAUGACCUUUUUGAUUGAAUGCGAUUACAUUCAAUUAAUUCAUUUUUUCAAUAUAUUACUGAUGUCAAUAUGUCAGUGUUGUGUUUGGUGUCUAUGUAAGUGCUUCAUAACUAACUAACACUUUUUUUAUGCCAAUUCCUUUUGGGUGUGUGGAAAUAGAUUCUCUCAUGUGUUAUUUACACAUGAGAUACUAAAGUGUGACAUCUCACCAUUCAAAUUUGUUCCAUUUAAAUUCCUCAUGUUGGAUCGAAAUAUGGUAUAUAAUAGAACAUAAUUUGAUUCAUGUAUCCGACCCCACUUAGUGAGAUAAGACUUGGUUGUUGUUGUUGUUGUUGUAAAUUCCUCGUGUGUUUCUCUCUCUCUCUCUCUCUCUCUCUCUCUCUCUCUCUCUCUCUUUGUGAAUGGUUAGAGAUCACACUUAACUCUUCCAUGAGUAAGAUACACACAAGAGGAUCCAUUCACGUUUGUCUGAUAGUGUUGUUUUUCUUCUUUAUGUUUUAGGUAUUGGCUUUCUGUUGGAGCUCAACCUUCAAAUCCCGUUGAGCGUCUUCUGUUUCGAGCAGGGUUACUUCCUCCACCGCCGACUGUUGCCAUGGCGCGCAAAGGAGGACCCCGUGACAUGAGUCCUGUUGAUGCUUUAACCGGGCGCAUCAUCGGUCAACAGAAGCCUCCUAACUCCAACAACAGUGGCACUGCCGUAACCGAAAACCCUUGAAAUCUUGUGUUUUUCAUUGGUGUCUUUAAGAGAAGAAGAAUAAGCUGGAAUUUGAAGCCAUUGAUUUCAAUUGGUAGAUUAUCUUGUUGUUCAUUUAUAUUUUGUUUUCGUGAACCUGUAGCGAAUGUAGUUAGUUUGAUUUUAAAUUUCCUGUACUGUACUCCUGGUUGGUUAUUUGUUGAUGAAGAUGCAGGAUUUUGAAAUAUAAUCCGUUUAUACUGUUUCUGCUGUGAAUGCAUUUGUUGAAACUGUGUUGUUCAGUUGUUCAUCCUAACUGCUCUUUGUUGUUUUGGUUACUUAAGUGGCAAUUAAUAGUGUGUUCCUUGUUGUAUUUUAUUUGUUAAGGCUUCAAACCAACCCUAGGAAUUAGCAUAUAUUAAGUAUUGUGUGGCUUUUUCUGUUGAUGCAUAUUGGUUUUGUCUGUUGCAAUAAUUUGUUGGGUAGAGCUAUUUAUCGGAAUUCUCAUAUAUUCUACUAUGAAUUGAUUAAUAAAAUGGACAGCUUGGUGCACUAAAGCUCCCGCAUAUGCAGGGUUCGAGAAGGGAUCCCACCAUUUUGGUUAUUAUGAAUUGAUUAUUACUGUAAAUUAUUGUUGGCACAAUCUUCGUUUGAAUUAGUUUAAUCUUGUUGUUUAGACCCAUAGGAAAUAGGAAGAAAUUGCAUUCAAACAUGUCUAUACGAGAACUAACUUAGUAGUAUUGAGCAGGGGCGGAGCUGCUCCUACACGAGGGUGUGCACCCUCAACUUUUCAUAAUUAUAUCUGCCUAUUUAACUCAUGUUUUGCAUAUCCUGAGAAAUUUAUUUUGCACCACUCUCGACAACUUUCCGUUUUUUAUGCAAUAGGAAGGCUGACCACUGUCAAGUGAAUAUACUUUUGACAGUACUGCAUGCUUUGACCAACAAUUUUAAUUUGGUUUUCCCUUGUUGGUUGUUACUACUAGUUAGUUUUUAUUUUCCUUUCCAACUUUCUUGCUUUUUUUUAGGCACUUAUUGUACUACUUGAAUUUCCCAUAAACACAUAUAAAAAUAAGAACCAAACGGAUUGAAUCUAUAUUAUGAAUUUAAUCUUUGAAGGAUUUGCCAUAAUCUCAAAUAUAGUCUGUCCCUAAUUACAAAGGUUUUUUUUUUUUUAACGAAAGUUACAAUUUCAAAUUGAUAAUUUCCUAUUUACUCGGUAUGAAAAAAACUUAAAGGUUAAUUUAACCUAUAAUAUAACAUUCAUUCGGUUCUUCCUUAAAACAACAUUUUUUUUUGAAUAAGCAUUCAUUCAAUAUAUAUAUAUAAGGGAAGCAUUUUUACUUUCAAAUUUGAGACACUUUUCUCCAACUCCAUGUAAUUUUAAAGUCUCCAAAAUCUUGCGUCGUUGCUCUUUCUCAUGCAUGGCUUGUCCCUCCUAUUUAAUCCUUUCUCGCCUUCUAUUUUAUUAUAUGGAUACAAAUUCUAAUCCAUCAUUUCCUUAUUAGUCUCAUGAUUGGGCGAUCACUCAUUUAAAUUUAAAUUCAUGGCACAUAUCCUUUUUCCAUCUCAAACCAGACCAACCAUGUUUCUGUUCAAAUGUUUUGGUCAUCCUUAUCUUACACAGUAAAGAAUAUAUAUUACUUAUUAUUUUGAUUUGUAUGUGAUCCAAAAUUUGAACUUAUAAUCUUUUUCAUCUUUCUGCAUAAUAUAGAGCUAAUCAAUUCAAUAAUUUAAAUAGUAGCAUAUAAUUGCUCUACAAAUGAGUUAACGUGAUUCCUUAAAAAUACAUUUUGAAGCUUAUAAAUCAUGAAAGGAUAAAUAUAAAUACAACUAACAUUAAAAUGUCGUUAAAAAAAGAAAAUGAACUCAAAUGACUAACUACAUUUUUACGUGAGAUUGUCACAUAUAUCAAGUAAUUUAUUGUGUGAGCUAAAGGGGUAAACACAACAUAUCAAUAUACUUAAAAGACAUUUGAUAUACAAAAUAACUUAAGAGACAUUUAUGUUGUACAAAGUGAAUAGAGCGUGAGUUUUUGUUUAUAAUGUACAAAGUGGUUGAAUCAAUAUUUAUUCGUUACAUGCAUAGGAAACCAAAUAUGACUAAGUUUUUUAAGUUUGUUUAUACUAUGUUCAUUUUAAUUUCUCUAUUUCUUGUUGUUACCAAUGCCAAUGGUAAGCCUUUUUCUCAUUGCAUUCAAGUUUUCAAAUUGACCUCAUACAUAAUAUUUUGACCAUUUUCAAUAACAUUCUUUUAUUCUUGUAUUCUUACAUUUCAGCUCAUAAUUGUACCGAUAUAUCCGAUUGCUCAAGUAAUCAUUGUUCCUACGAGGGGGUGUCAUUAUGCAUGAAUGGUCAAUGCAUAUGCAUUUACGAGUAAAGUUGGAAACUAACUGUAUUACUUAAGUUUACAAUUUUACUUAUAUGUCACGGUGAAUGUUGUUACUCUUAUGGUUUCUCUCACACUUUGAGUUAUGCUUUUGACCUUUCAAAUUCUUUUACAGAAUAAGCACAAGAAAACAAUAAAAAUGUUUGUCACAGACAUAUAUCUUCUAUUAGAGUUUAGUUUUUUACAUGCAGAUAACAAUGAACCAAUGAUCACCGGAACGGUGUGCAAUUAUUCUAAUGUGUGUGAGAGAGAGAGAAGAUAGAAACUAUAUUCCACUGGUGAUGAAAACGUGUGUAAUCUUAACACUGUAACUAUAUUCCCUUGCUAUUUUUUUUUACAUCUCUUUUAUUAAAAAUCUCUUCUUUACUCAUUCAUCAUAACAAUUCCCAUAAAAUUAUCGCUCCACACACACCCACUAUCAAUAAUAGAUGGUGAUCAAAUAAUUGAGACUAACAAAAGAUAUACAUUCAAAGUAUUAGGCAAAAUUAAAAUAGCCAUACACUUAGAUGACAUGGUCACUUUCUUAUUUGGAUGUGUACAUCUUGAUGAGAUGUUAUUCCACGUUCUGGAUGGAUAGAGAUUUUUAAUAAAAGAGAUGUAGUAGUAUAAAUGAGGCUGCAAAUAGUAUCUAUCUAAAAGUUAGCCUAUUCACAAUAAUCUUCUA
rnacentral:lncRNA from 1 species